CAACGAGCCUAGCCUUGGCCGAGAGGCCCGGGUAAUCUUUGAAACUGCAUCGUGAUGGGGAUAGAUUAUUGCAAUUAUUAAUCUUCAACGAGGAAUGCCUAGUAAGCGCAAGUCAUCAGCUUGCGUUGAUUACGUCCCUGCCCUUUGUACACACCGCCCGUCGCUCCUACCGAUUGGGUGUGCUGGUGAAGUGUUCGGAUUGGCGACCUGGGGCGGUCUCCGCUCUCGGCCGCCGAGAAGUUCAUUAAACCCUCCCACCUAGAGGAAGGAGAAGUCGUAACAAGGUUUCCGUAGGUGAACCUGCGGAAGGAUCAUUGAAUCUAUCGAAUCCACUUUGGUACCCACUCGUCCCCCUCGUCCGAUGUCGCCCUCUCUUAGGGGAGUGCGAUGCGGCGAGCGUCGGUCCCCUGGCUGUGGCUCCCCCGAGCUGUUGCUCAGGUCCGGCGGGCGUCCCUUCACAUGUGGGACCCCUUCCCUUUGGAGGAUCCGACGUCGGAAAUUUCAACUCAACUCAACCCACCCCAAACUGAAACUUAUUCUAAAGCACCUUGUGGUUGGCAGCUCGUCUGCCGUCCACUCCAAACCAAAUACAACUCUCAACAACGGAUAUCUUGGCUCCCGUAUCGAUGAAGAACGCAGCGAAAUGCGAUACGUAGUGUGAAUUGCAGAAUUCCGUGAACCAUCGAAUCUUUGAACGCAACUUGCGCCUGAGGCUUCGGCCAAAGGCAUGUCUGCCUCAGCGUCGGCUCACCCCCUCGCCUCCCCAUCUCCUUUGAUUGGGAAGGCGGAUCUGACCUUCCCGGUUCCGCCGGUCACUCGUGAUUGGCGCCGGGUCGGUUGAAGCUCAGAGGUAUGAGCAUGGACCCCGUUCGCAGGGUAAUGGCUUGGUAGGUAGGCAUUCCCUACGCAUCCUGCCGUUGCCCGAGGGGACUUUGCUGGAGACCUAGCAGGAAUUCGGAUGCUUGGGCACCCCCCGACACCGAAACUCUUCAUUUCGACCUGAGCUCAGGCAAGACUACCCGCUGAACUUAAGCAUAUCAAUAAGCGGAGGAAAAGAAAUCAACCGAGAUGCCCUUAGUAACGGCGAGCGAACCGGGCAAAGCCCAACUUGAAAAUCUCCAGCCUAUGGCUGGCGAAUUGUAGUCUAGAGAAGCGCUCUCUGCCCCACCCCGGCCCCAAGUCCCCUGGAAAGGGGCGUCAAAGAGGGUGAGAACCCCGUUGGGACCGGAUUUUGGGGCUCCACGAGACGCUUUCGUAGAGUCGGGUUGCUUGGGAAUGCAGCCCAAAGAAGGUGGUAAAU
rnacentral:rRNA from 1 species